CCUACGGGGGGCAGCAGUGGGGAAUCUUCCGCAAUGGGCGAAAGCCUGACGGAGCAACGCCGCGUGAUCGAAUGAAGGCCUUCGGGUUGUAAAGAUCUGUUGACAGGGACGAAUAAGCAAUGCGAAUAGUUUUGUGUAUGACGGUACCUGUUUAGAAAGCUCCGGCUAACUACGUGCCAGCAGCCGCGGUAAUACGUAGGGAGCAAGCGUUGUCCGGAAUUACUGGGCGUAAAGGGCGCGUAGGUGGGCGCUUAAGUCAGGUGUGAAAACUCCGGGCUCAACCUGGAGACUGCACUUGAAACUGGGUGUCUUGAGGGCAGGAGAGGAAAGUGGAAUUCCGAGUGUAGCGGUGAAAUGCGUAGAUAUUAGGAGGAACACCAGUGGCGAAGGCGGCCUGCUGGGCUUUUACUGACGCUGAGGCUCGAAAGUGUGGGGAGCAAACAGGAUUAGAUACCCCUGUAGUC
rnacentral:rRNA from 1 species